CUGGCUAUAAGAACACACCAAUUCAGUUUAGAAAUUGACCGUGGCCUUUUAGAGCAACCUAAGGAUGAGUCUGGAAAAGAGCACAAGAUCAGCCAUGCAUGGUGUCCUCUUUACUGAAGAGCAAAAGUCUUCAUUGGGAAUAUAGAUAACAUAAAUCAUAAUUUAGAGAGAAAUAAUAUUAUUGAACCUUGUGUUAAUCCAACAAGCACAAACAUGCUAUUAGGCCAUAACCCCAUUUGAAUUUUUAGGGUCAAACAGUUAAUUUACAAGGCUGUAGCCAGAAUGAGUGAACCCUGCCCCUCUUGUGUCUGCAUGGUUUAUUUCGUUAGGGGUAAUUUUUUUUUGUACCAGAGUGUCACCUGUUUUGUUUUGUUUUCUAUUUGGGGUUGUGUUUUCCAUUCAUUUCCCAUAAAAUAUCAGUGCGCUGUGUUAGAAUACAUGCCUGGAUAUUCCGAGCACCCACACUUAAGUUAUUUAACAGUUGUCUCAGAUUAGAAUACACCACAAUGUACUACUGCUCACCUCCAAAUUUCCUUUGUGGUAAAUACCUAAAAUGAUUAUUGUUUCGUUCUAGUUACGCCUAUCUAAAAACCUGUAUAUAAUAUGAUUCACUAUGAGAAAUAAAUCAGUUGUUACUCCUA